CCUACGGGAGGCAGCAGUGAGGAAUAUUGCGCAAUGGGCGAAAGCCUGACCCAGCAACGCCGCGUGAGGGACGAAGGCCUUCGGGUUGUAAACCUCUUUUCUGGGGGACGAGACCAGGACGGUACCUCAGGAAUAAGUCUCGGCUAACUACGUGCCAGCAGCCGCGGUAAAACGUAGGUGGCAAGCGUUAUCCGGAAUCACUGGGCGUAAAGGGCGUCUAGGCGGACGGGUAAGAGAGACGUGAAAGCUCCUGGCACAACUGGGAGAGGUCGUUUCAGACUGCCGGGCUUGAGGGUCGGAGAGGGACGUGGAAUUCCCGGUGUAGUGGUGAAAUGCGUAGAGAUCGGGAGGAACACCCGUGGCGUAGGCGGCGUCCGGGCCGACACCUGACGCUGAAGCGCGAAAGCGUGGGGAGCGAACGGGAUUAGAUCCCCCGAUAGU
rnacentral:rRNA from 1 species